GAACAUAAUAUCACAUAAUGAAGGAAUGGAGCAUCUUCACUUGAACUCUCCAUGCCGUAUGGGCGGACGUCCUUGAGGAAAGCAAAGGUGGCCGCCAUUGAUGAGAUGGAAGUGAAAGCAAGUUUCAGUAAGCUGAAUGAUUGUUUUUGAAGAAUCAAGGUAGAAAUCGAAUAAAUAGCGUAAUUCCGGGGAUAUAUGGAUAGUAGUUGCGAUCCUUCCAUAAGUUGGGAAGCACAAUUUGCGUGAUUUAUGGGUUUUUGAUGAGAUUUUCUAAAUGAAGAUAUUGACAGAGAGAUAUGUAGAGAUCUUCGGUGAUGGCGGAGGUCACGCAGAGUUGACAAACAGUUGGGCUUAAUUUCUUUGGGCUUCGAUUUUUUUUUGGGUUCUAAGUUUGUUUGCGAAAUUUUUCUUUUUUAAAGUUUUAAAAAAUAAAGCCAGUGGCAGAGGGUUGGAAAUAAGUGAGCAAAGUGAGGGUUUUU